rnacentral:rRNA from 1 species
GUAACAGGAAACAGCUUGCUGUUUCGCUGACGAGUGGCGGACGGGUGAGUAAUGUCUGGGAAACUGCCUGAUGGAGGGGGAUAACUACUGGAAACGGUAGCUAAUACCGCAUAACGUCGCAAGACCAAAGAGGGGGACCUUCGGGCCUCUUGCCAUCAGAUGUGCCCAGAUGGGAUUAGCUAGUAGGUGGGGUAACGGCUCACCUAGGCGACGAUCCCUAGCUGGUCUGAGAGGAUGACCAGCCACACUGGAACUGAGACACGGUCCAGACUCCUACGGGAGGCAGCAGUGGGGAAUAUUGCACAAUGGGCGCAAGCCUGAUGCAGCCAUGCCGCGUGUAUGAAGAAGGCCUUCGGGUUGUAAAGUACUUUCAGCGGGGAGGAAGGGAGUAAAGUUAAUACCUUUGCUCAUUGACGUUACCCGCAGAAGAAGCACCGGCUAACUCCGUGCCAGCAGCCGCGGUAAUACGGAGGGUGCAAGCGUUAAUCGGAAUUACUGGGCGUAAAGCGCACGCAGGCGGUUUGUUAAGUCAGAUGUGAAAUCCCCGGGCUCAACCUGGGAACUGCAUCUGAUACUGGCAAGCUUGAGUCUCGUAGAGGGGGGUAGAAUUCCAGGUGUAGCGGUGAAAUGCGUAGAGAUCUGGAGGAAUACCGGUGGCGAAGGCG